GUCUGAAUGACACACAUUAAUAUCAGCACAAUGUAUUAAUUUUGAACGGUAAAUGUUGUUAAGAUAUUAAUUAAUUUGUGUCAUUCAUACUUAUUUCCAAGCCAAAAUUAACUUGCUUGCCAAGAACAGCAGUAAGAGUUCGACAAGUUAAGCCCGUUUUCCACUUCACCAUUUCGCUCGCUUCCCCGUCCUCGAUUACAUUAAAACAACAUUUCCAAUUCACAUUUUAUACAUUACUCUGAUUCUCCAUUUACC